UCAAAGAGAGAGCAGUAGAGAAUAUUAAAAAGUUAAACCUACACAAGUGACAGAGUGAGAGGAGUAUAAUGAUAUGGCUACAGAAGUAGUCAAAUAUUCUUAAGCCUAAAUCCCUUUCUUAUUUUAUGAUAAUGUCCGUUUUAAUGUUAAUUAUUCUUACUAAACAGAGCAAUCAAACCAAUUUAUUUUCAUGUUCUAAAUUAAAGAAGCACUGAUUCAAUGUAGCAACUACUCCUGUAUAUUAGCUUAAACCUUGUUCAACAUCUAAAAGAUAUCAACUCAAAUUAGACAAUUGAAUUCAAACCACUCUUGGAUCAACUAAAAUAUUUAUUCUAGCAACUCCACACCGGCAAACAGAUAAUAUUCCAAACUCAUAAUCACCAAGUUUAUACUAUCUGCAAUCAAGCAUGAGAGGGAGAGAAGUAAGAGAAAUCGGGCAAGAAUUAGACCUCAAAGUGCAACACCCUUCCGGUUAAUACAACAUUGGUGCGAACAAGAGCUUGGACCAGAAACCUCAAGCACCAAACUGUUUUCUGGAUCUGAGCACUCCAAAACUUUGAACCCAAUUCCAGCGAGGCAACAACUCGCGUGAGGGAGAUAGCAGAGGCGGGUGAUGAGGGUGGUCGUGUGGCAGUGAUGUUUUGGAGAUGAAUGAUCGCUGGUGUGAGGUGAUGGCUGGGAGACAUGAGGAUGAUGAUGAAUGUUACUCGUUGGUGUGAGGUCGUGACAUGAAGAAGAAGUUCGGGAGGGGGGUCUCUUAUGUUUGGGGUUCUGUGGCUGAUGAUUUAGGAUCCGGAUCGUAGGUUAUUAUGUGGGUUUAAGG
rnacentral:lncRNA from 1 species